AAGAAAAAUAGACAAGGGGCAUCCAUGCCGGAAUCAUUUAUCUUUCAAAUCUUCAUAGGAUGUACUUUUAACUCUUGGAUCAGAACAGCAUGCCUGGGACUGGUCUUCAUGUAAGAAGCGGAGGGAAUUCCAGAUUGAAUUGAAGGACACCAGACAGGGAUCUGUGAUCAACGAUCUCCGAUGUUUCUGUGGUAAUUGUUUUGG
rnacentral:lncRNA from 1 species